rnacentral:rRNA from 1 species
AGUGAACGCUGGCGGUAGGCCUAACACAUGCAAGUCGAACGGCAGCACAGUAAGAGCUCGCUCUUACGGGUGGCGAGUGGCGGAUGGGUGAGGAAUACAUCGGAAUCUACUUUUUCGUGGGGGAUAACGUAGGGAAAGUUACGCUAAUACCGCAUACGACCAACGGGUGAAAGCAAGGGAUCUUCGGACCUUGCGCGACUGAAUGAGCCGAUGUCGGAUUAGAUAGUUGGCGGGGUAAAGGCCCACCAAGGCGAAGAUCCGUAGCUGGUCUGAGAGGAUGAUCGGCCACACUGGAACUGAGACACGGUCCAGACUCCUACGGGAGGCAGCAGUGGGGAAUAUUGGACAAUGGGCGCAAGCCUGACCCAGCCAUACCGCGUGAGUGAAGAAGGCCUUCGGGUUGUAAAGCCCUUUUGUUGGGAAAGAAAAGCAGCAGGUUAAUCCCCCGCUGUUCUGACGGUACCCAAAGAAUAAGCACCGGCUAACUUCGUG